UGGGGAAUUUUGGACAAUGGGCGAAAGCCUGAUCCAGCAAUGCCGCGUGUGUGAAGAAGGCCUUCGGGUUGUAAAGCACUUUUGUCCGGAAAGAAAUCCUUGGCUCUAAUACAGUCGGGGGAUGACGGUACCGGAAGAAUAAGCACCGGCUAACUACGUGCCAGCAGCCGCGGUAAUACGUAGGGUGCAAGCGUUAAUCGGAAUUACUGGGCGUAAAGCGUGCGCAGGCGGUUUGCUAAGACCGAUGUGAAAUCCCCGGGCUCAACCUGGGAACUGCAUUGGUGACUGGCAGGCUAGAGUAUGGCAGAGGGGGGUAGAAUUCCACGUGUAGCAGUGAAAUGCGUAGAGAUGUGGAGGAAUACCGAUGGCGAAGGCAGCCCCCUGGGCCAAAUACUGACGCUCAUGCACGAAAGCGUGGGGAGCAAACAGGAUUAGAUACCCUGGUAGUCCGCGCCCUAAACGAUGUCAACUAGUUGUUGGGGAUUCAUUUCCUUAGUAACGUAGCUAACGCGUGAAGUUGACCGCCUGGGGAGUACGGUCGCAAGAUUAAAACUCAAAUGAAUUGACGGGGU
rnacentral:rRNA from 1 species